rnacentral:ribozyme from 1 species
GGUCGCAAGCUUUAGGCCAAAGCAGAAGCACUCAUGAUGUGGCCUGUCAGAUUCCAAUGAAUCUGCAAAUUCUGCU